GAUGAACGCUGGCGGCGUGCCUAAUACAUGCAAGUCGAGCGAACGGACGAGAAGCUUGCUUCUCUGAUGUUAGCGGCGGACGGGUGAGUAACACGUGGAUAACCUACCUAUAAGACUGGGAUAACUUCGGGAAACCGGAGCUAAUACCGGAUAAUAUUUUGAACCGCAUGGUUCAAAAGUGAAAGGCGGUCUUGCUGUCACUUAUAGAUGGAUCCGCGCUGCAUUAGCUAGUUGGUAAGGUAACGGCUUAACAAGGCAACGAUGCAUAGCCGACCUGAAAAGGUGAUCGGCCACACUGGAACUGAGACACGGUCCAGACCCCUACGGAAGGCAGCAGUAGGGAAUCUUCCGCAAUGGGCGAAAGCCUGACGGAGCAACGCCGCGUGAGUGAUGAAGGUCUUCGGACCGUAAAACUCUGUUAUUAGGGAAGAACAUAUGUGUAAGUAACUGUGCACAUCUUGACGGUACCUAAUCAGAAAGCCACGGCUAACUACGUG
rnacentral:rRNA from 1 species